rnacentral:rRNA from 1 species
CUCAAAGUUGGAACCUGUUUGGCCUAGCUAAACAGGAUUGUAAACUGUAGAAGUGUUUUCCAGGCAAUCCGAGUUAAUAAGUCCUCUGGAACAGGGCAUCAUAGAGGGUGAGAAUCCCGUCUUUGAUUCGAGAAUUUUUUGCCUUUUGCGAUACACUUUCAAAGAGUCAGGUUGUUUGGGAAUGCAGCCUAAAUUGGGUGGUAAAUCUCACCUAAAGCUAAAUAUUGGCGAGAAACCGAUAGCGAACAAGUACCGUGAGGGAAAGAUGAAAAGAACUUUGAAAAGAGAGUUAAACAGUAUGUGAAAUUGUUAAAAGGGAACCGUUUGGAGCCAGACUGGCUUGUCUGUAAUCAAUCUAGGCUUUGGCCUGGAUGCACUUGCAGACUAUGCCUGCCAACGACAAUUUGAUUUGAGGGAAAAAACUAGAGGAAAUGUGGCCAGCUUUUUUUUGUUGGUGUUAUAGUCCUUUAGAAAAUACCUUGGAUUGGAUUGAGGAACGCAGCGAAUGCUCUUGUGGCGAGUCUUUGAUAAGUCUUUACAGAUAUGAGCUGGGUGUUAAAAAACCCACGAACUUGAAGUUUAAACUCGUUU